UACAGAGGUCCCAAGCGUUGUUCGGAUUCAUUGGGCGUAAAGGGUGCGUAGGUGGCGUCGUAAGUCGGGUGUGAAAUUUCGGAGCUCAACUCCGAAACUGCAUUCGAUACUGCGGUGCUUGAGGACUGGAGAGGAGACUGGAAUUUACGGUGUAGCAGUGAAAUGCGUAGAUAUCGAGAGGAACACCUGCGGCGAAGGCGGGUUGCUGGGCUGACACUGACGCUGAAGCGCGAAAGCUAGGGGAGCGAACGGG
rnacentral:rRNA from 1 species